GUAUAAGAGACAGCAGUAGCCACGGGAAUACGGAGGGAGCUAGCGUUAUUCGGAAUUACUGGGCGUAAAGCGCACGUAGGCGGCUUUGUAAGUAAGAGGUGAAAGCCCGGAGCUCAACUCCGGAACUGCCUUUUAGACUGCAUCGCUUGAAUCCAGGAGAGGUGAGUGGAAUUCCGAGCGUAGAGGUGAAAUUCGUAGAUAUUCGGAAGAACACCAGUGGCGAAGGCGGCUCACUGGACUGGUAUUGACGCUGAGGUGCGAAAGCGUGGGGAGCAAACAGGAUUAGAUACCCCCGUAGUCCCUGUCUCUUAUAC
rnacentral:rRNA from 1 species